rnacentral:lncRNA from 1 species
CAGGCAGGAGGCCUAAAGGGGCUGGUGUCAAAUGUGAGAAGGGGAAUGGAAAAUCUGCACCCUCACUCAUCACAGAAUUCUUAUUGUGUGGUUUUUCUUUCAGGACACUGCCUUUCAGAUGCAAUUCAAAGACUGAAGGGUGAUCCUUUGCCUUUCCUGUGUAGAUUGGUGACUUGGACCAGUGUCCCAUAGGCCUCCAAGUUGAAUGAAAGGAAGAAAUGAAAGAGACCAUUUGGGUUCCAUGCUGGAUGAGACUUCAAACAAUCAGCAAUGCCCUCUAAGGUACUGCUUGGUUUUGUCAUUUCCUUCUCGACUGGACAAGAAACUGGGAAUUCAUCGUAUCCAUGACAUCAGCCUUUCCUGUGUAAGAAGCUGAAAGCAAACCACAAGAGGAUCUGGCUUCUCUAAUUGUCCCAUUUAGAGGAGGCUGCACAUCACAUUUGGAGAUAAUGAAUUGGCGUCUUAAGUGGGAGUCUGAGGAGUUAUGGUGUCUUUUUUUGGUGGCAUUCCUCUUUCCCAAAAUGCUUUACUGAGGGGUCUAUGAAGACAAGGGAGCGGUCUUAGCAGGAGGGGAAAGUGGCUGAUGAAUACAGGCUCUGUGGGGCAGCUGCAUAUAGUAUUUGUGAUGUCAUUUUUCUUCUUUCUGGUCUUUGUGUGGGUUCCUCCAGAGCCAGACUUGAUUUGAGAACUCAAGUGCAGGAGUUCCUGCUGUGGCAAGGUGGGUUUAAGAAUCCAGC